GACGAACGCUGGCGGCGUGCCUAAUACAUGCAAGUAGAACGCACAGUUUAUACCGUAGCUUGCUACACCAUAGACUGUGAGUUGCGAACGGGUUAGUAACGCGUAGGUAACCUGCCUGGUAGCGGGGGAUAACUAUUGGUAACGAUAGCUAAUACCUCAUAAUAUUUAUUAUUGCAUGAUAAUUAAUUGAAAGGUGCAAUUGCACCACUACCAGAUGGCCCUGCGUUGUAUUAGCUAGUAGGUGAGGUAACGGCUCACCUAGGCGACGAUACAUAGCCGAACUGAGAGGGUGAGCGGCCACACUGGGACUGAGACACGGCCCAGACUCCUACGGGAGGCAGCAGGAGGGAAUCGUCGGCAAUGGACGAAAGUCUGACCGAGCAACGCCGCGUGAGUGAAGAAGGUUGUCGGAUCGUAAAGCUCUGUUGUAAGAGAAGAACGGGUGUGAGAGUGGAAAGUUCACACUGUGACGGUAUCUUACCAGAAAGGGGCGGCUAACUACGUG
rnacentral:rRNA from 1 species